AGAGAGGUGGCCGAGUGGUCGAAGGCGCACGCUUGGAAAGCGUGUAUACGGCAACGUAUCGAGGGUUCGAAUCCCUUCCUCUCUA
rnacentral:tRNA from 2 species